rnacentral:rRNA from 1 species
GACGAACGCUGGCGGCGUGCCUAAUACAUGCAAGUUGAGCGCUGAAGGUUGGUACUUGUACCGACUGGAUGAGCAGCGAACGGGUGAGUAACGCGUGGGGAAUCUGCCUUUGAGCGGGGGACAACAUUUGGAAACGAAUGCUAAUACCGCAUAAAAACUUUAAACACAAGUUUUAAGUUUGAAAGAUGCAAUUGCAUCACUCAAAGAUGAUCCCGCGUUGUAUUAGCUAGUUGGUGAGGUAAAGGCUCACCAAGGCGAUGAUACAUAGCCGACCUGAGAGGGUGAUCGGCCACAUUGGGACUGAGACACGGCCCAAACUCCUACGGGAGGCAGCAGUAGGGAAUCUUCGGCAAUGGACGAAAAUCUGACCGAGCAACGCCGCGUGAGUGAAGAAGGUUUUCGGAUCGUAAAACUCUGUUGGUAGAGAAGAACGUUGGUGAGAGUGGAAAGCUCAUCAAGUGACGGUAACUACCCAGAAAGGGACGGCUAACUACGUG